rnacentral:rRNA from 1 species
ACUUUUGUCAGGGAGCAAAACUUACUGGUUAAUACCUGGUGAGGUUGAGAGUACCUGAAGAAUAAGCACCGGCUAACUACGUGCCAGCAGCCGCGGUAAUACGUAGGGUGCAAGCGUUAAUCGGAAUUACUGGGCGUAAAGCGUGCGCAGGCGGACUUUUAAGCCAGAUGUGAAAGCCCCGAGCUUAACUUGGGAAUUGCGUUUGGAACUGGGAGUCUAGAGUCUGUCAGAGGGGAUGGAAUUCCACGUGUAGCAGUGAAAUGCGUAGAGAUGUGGAGGAACACCGAUGGCGAAGGCAGUCCCCUGGGAUAAGACUGACGCUCAUGCACGAAAGCGUGGGGAGCAAACAGGAUUAGAUACCCUGGUAGUCCACGCCCUAAACGAUGUCUACUAGUUGUUGGGGUAGCAAUACCUCAGUGACGCAGCUAACGCGUGAAGUAGACCGCCUGGGGAGUACCGGUCGCCAAGAUUAAAACUCCAAGGAAUUGACGGGGC